rnacentral:rRNA from 1 species
GACGAACGCUGGCGGCGUGCCUAACACAUGCAAGUCGAACGGAAGUAAGUGCUUCGGUAUUUACUUUAGUGGCGAACGGGUGAGUAAUACAUAAGUAACCUGCCCUAGACAGGGGGAUAACUGCUGGAAACGGCAGCUAAGACCGCAUAGGUAUGGACACUGCAUGGUGACCAUAUUAAAAGUGCCAAGGCACUGGUAGAGGAUGGACUUAUGGCGCAUUAGCUGGUUGGUGAGGUAACGGCUCACCAAGGCGACGAUGCGUAGCCGACCUGAGAGGGUGACCGGCCACACUGGGACUGAGACACGGCCCAG